ACAAAUCGGAAUACGCUAAGAUAUUUUGUGCGUAAGGAGGCUAAUUUGUCUCGCCCCUUCUGAUCUCAUUUACAAACGAAAACUACAUGAAGGCUGCUUCAGCAAGUCCGAGGAAGUGCCUUUUGUCUCUCCCCCACCAUCCUUCGACGUGAGGCAGAGUUGAAUAACCUAAAGUUACAAUCGAGUCUUAUUUCCAUUUUGGUUUCAUCCACUUAAAAGCUAGGUUAUAUGAGUAACCAUUCAUUCAAAUUGAAGUGCGAAUCAGAAGUCGUGCAGGCAUAGUUCACUCUCUUGGCUUUAAGUUUGAGUACGAAGGGAGGUUCAGCCCAUGCUGAUUCUUGGAAAGCUAGCCGGUGAUUGGGUGAAAAAUGUAAUAACAUGCGGCGGUGGAGUGAGGAGACUGGUGGUGACAGACAGCACCGUAUCAUCACCUCGUUUUAGACGAGUGCAAGUGUAGAUAAGUCCAGUUGAUUUGAUGUGUCCUAAUGUGCAAUUUUAGGUUACUUGUGCAAUCUUUUUUAUAAUGCAAUGCAUACAUACUUGCAAUGAUUGUGGAGCUGACCAAGAUAUUCAAAUUCGUUUGUCGUCAUCUCUGCUGGUCAUUAAAGUAUUUAAUGAAGAUGGCACUAGCCAGACAUUGGAGGUACCAAAUGACAUCAUAGCUCGUGAUGUCUCUCAGUUGUUUCUCAUGAGAAGUCACUGUGUCAGUGACAAUACCUGGACACUCAUCGAGCAUCUUCCUCAUCUUGACAUGGAAAGAAUUGUAGAAGAUCAUGAAUCAGUGACUCAGUUCCAAUCAACCUGGGGGAUGGACAGUGACAGCAGACUAUAUUUCAGAAAAAAUUAUGCAAAAUAUGAAUUCUUUAAAAGCCCUUCAUAUUUUCCAGAGCACAUGGUGUCUAGUUGCAGUGAGACAAAUGGAAGCUUAAGUCAUUCUCAGUUAAUACAGAAUUUCUUGAAUUCAAGCACGUAUCCUGAGGUUCACGGUUACCUUCAUGCUAGAGAACAAGGAAAAAAGACGUGGAAGAAAUGUUACUUUGUCUUGAGAAGAUCUGGGUUAUACUUUUCGACAAAGGGAACAUCUAAGGAGCCAAGACAUUUACAAUUUGUUGCUGAGUUCAGUGAAAGCAACGUUUACACUCUAUUAUCAGCAAGGAAGAUGUAUGGAGCACCGACCAAUUUUGGAUUCUGCAUCAAGCUUCACAAAUCCAGACGUACCAGAGACCUGAAGUUACUUUGUGCAGAAGAUGAACAGAGUAGGAUGUGUUGGGUGACAGGGGUUCGACUUUUUAAGUAUGGAAUACAACUGUACCAAAACUAUAAAACACCACAGAAAAGGAGAGAUAGCCUUACUUCACUGAACUCAUCACCAAUGAGAAGCGUCUCAGAAAAUUCUCUGGUAGCUAUGGACUUCUCUGGACACAAAGGAAGAGUAAUUGAAAAUCCUAUGGAGGCACUUACAGUUGCUACUGAGGAGGGGUUGGCAUGGCGGAGGAGAAGCUGUCAUCGUUUGAACGCAUAUGGAAGUCCAACCACAUCGCAGAGCACCACAUCGUGCCAAGCCAUUCAUAGGAUGCAGCUAUGGUUUCAUCACCGACUCUCCAGAGAUGAAGCUCAAAAACUUUUAGAACAACAAGGUCUUGUGGAUGGAUACUGGAUUCUUUGUUGUAGCUCCUUUAAUGCCUUAAUAUGAGAUUUGGAAUGGCAACUGAAAAUACGCCGAGCCCUGCAUCAAACUUAGUUUUUCAUAACCCUUGUCCCAUUAGGGGAAAAUGACUGUAAAAUGGCUUUAUUUGGUAUAAAAGGAAAUUGACUUGCAUAAUAAUAUGGCCGUGAAUAAAUUUUACAAUAAGAUAUCCUGAAAUUUCAACUGAACAUUGCCUCACAGUUUAUUAUAAACGUAUAUUUAGAUUUGUUCUUUAAUCUCCACUAUUUGAUAGUUGAAGCUUGGCUCUGGCUGAGUCAAAGGGCUUUAAAGUGGAUUUGUGAUGUCCUUAAUUGCUUAAGGGCAAGUAGACAGGAGGAAUUUGUAAAUAAAGAGCAGGUUUUUAAAUUUAAUCCACUUGGAUUGGAACGACAAUAUUGGGAGAACAGGAUUAAUGUUUGGGAUUUCAUGUAGACUUUUACACAGCCCACAGAUUGUGGAAUGAAAGAUCAUGAGGCUGCUGUUUAUGGUAUAUAACAAAUUGAAACUAGAAAUGACAAGUCUGGAUUAGUGUUUAACGUUGAUAGGGAUAGUGGGGCAAAGCAUUUUAGAUAAUUAUCAAGGCAAGUAGUCUUGUUAAUGUGUAGGAUGUUGGGUUAUAAAGUAUAGCUCUGAAUUGAAUAGAGUCUCAAGGCUUUGAGCGUUUUGAUUCAGCUUAAGCAGGUGAUCAGGGAGAAAAUGGAGUUGAUGAUGAGAGCAGAGCCAUUGGUAGUUUACAAACAUACAAACAUACAGAUUAGGAGUAAGAGUUGUUCAUGUGUUCCAAAAUUCAAUAAGAUCUUGACUGAUUGGAUUACUUUCUUGCCUGCCCCCAAUAACUUCUCACCAUCUUCUUGAGAAUCUUGUCUAUGUCUAUCUUUUGAGGAAGAAAGUUUCAAAGACCCAAGACCCCACUGAGAAAUAAGUUUCUCCUCAUUUCUGUUAUAAAUGAGUGACAUUUCUUUCGAAACAGUGACAGAGUACUAGAUUCUCCCAUAGGAGCAAACAUCUUUUACACAACCACCAUGUUAAGACCACUUAGGACUUUGAAUGUUUCAAUCAAUUCACUUCUAAUUGUCCUAAACUCUAGUAGAUACAAGCCUAGCUUGUUUCAUCUUUCCUCAUAAAACAACAUGCCUAUUCCAUAUAUUAGUCAAGUAAACCUUCUGUAAACUGCUUUCAACAUAUUUAUAUUCUUCCUUAAAUGAGGAGAUCAAUGCUAUACAAAGUAUUUAGCAUGUGGGCUCACCAGUGUCUUGUAUAACGGAAGCAUGACCACCCUACUUUCGUUGCAAUUCCUUUUGCAAUAAAUGAUGUUGUUUUAUUAGUCUUCCUAAUUACAUGGUGUACCUGCAAAAUAACACAUUGCAAUUCAUGCACUCAGACACCCAGAUCCCCCUGCAUCUCAGAUCCUACAAUCUUUUGCCAUUUAGAUAAUGGGCUUUUUAAAAAGUUAUUCCUGCAACAGAAGAUAUUAGUCUCUGAUGAGUACUGUUUAAUGAUUCUAAAAUGAAUUACGGAGUAAUGAUGCUUUACAGUCAGUAGCAAUUCAAGAAUCUAUUGGCCACCUACAUAAAUAAAUUUCUUCAAAGUCCAUUAUAUAUGAAGAGAUUUGUUACAUUUGAGAACUGUAACCAGGCAUUACAGAAUGUGCACUCAGACACCCAGACCCCUCUGCAUUUCAGAGCCUACAAUCGGUUGUUAUUUAGAUAAUGGGCUUUUUAAAAAAUGCUUUCUUCCAAGAUGAACUGUUUCACAUUUUUCCACAUUAUACUUCAAUUGUCAACUCAUUUGACUUCUAAUGUCCCUUUAUAAACUUCAUAUGUGCUCUUCACAAUUACAUUCCUACUAUUGUUGUAUCAUCAGAAAAUUUGGUAACCGUACCUUCAGCCCCUUCAUCCAAGUCAUCUGUAUAAACUGGAAAACAUUAACAUUCCCAGCACUAAACCUAUGCAUGUCACUCAUUAAAUCUUGCCAAUUUAAAAAAGACCCAUGCCCGAAAUGUCAGCUUUCCUGCUCCUCUGAAGCUCCUUGGCCUGCUGUGUUUAUCCAGCUCUACACCUUGUUAUCCCAUUUAUGUCCAUUCUGUUUUCUGUUAUCUAGCCAACCUUACAUCCAUGACAAUUGGUUGUAUCUUAGACCAUGAGUUUUUUAUGUUCUGCAGUAAUCUUUGAUGUGGUGUCUUGUCAAAUGCUUUUGAGAAAUCCAUGUACAGUAUAUCUCUGGUUCCCCUUAUCCACAGGAGAUGGUAUUUCUUCAGAAAACACCAACAACCUUGAGUUUUUGCAAGAGCUCCUGCUAAAAAGUCUUUAAUAAUACCUUCUGCAAGUUUCCCUAAACAGAUGUGAGGCUAACUGACUUGUAGUUUCCUGCUUCUGUUCCUUUUUCAAUAAAGAAGUUACAUUUGCUAUUUUUCAAUCCAGUGGAACUUUUUCUGUAUCUUGGGAAUUUGCAAAAAUAAAAAUCACCUCAUAAUUAUUUCACUACCCAAUUAUUUUAGGACACUAUGAUGAAAUCCAUUUGGAUCCAGCUCCAGCAGUUUGUUCAGUACUACUUCUCCGGUUAUUGUAAUUUUCUGGAGUACCUAUUUUUGAUUGACUUCCUGAUAUGUACUAAUUCUGGAAUGUCAUUUGUUUCAUUUAUAGUGAAAACCAAUACAAAAUUGCUGUCCAAUUUAUGUGUUGUCUCGUUAGUUUCCACUACUUAUUCCCAAGACUUGCUUUUUAUUGGAUUUUUUCGUUUCUAACUACUUAGAGACCUAAAUCUGUUUUUGCAUUUCUCACUAGACUUAUAAAAUUCUGUAAUUUUUCUUUCCUUUUUAAGCUCUUUGUCUUUUUGUUUAGCUUAUUCCCAAUCUUCUGGCCUGCCACCCAUCUCUGGAAAUAUAUGCUUUUUCUUUUAAGAAUGUUACAAUCUUUAACUUUUUUUAAUCUAACCAUGAUUACUGAGUCCACUCUUGGAACUUUUCUUUCUCAUUGGAAUGUACUAAUAUUUGUAUUCUUAAAUAUCUUUUUUAAUGCCUACAGCUGCAUUUCUGUUGAACUGUUUUAAAACCUAGUUUACCAGUAGACUUUAGAUUAUUCUGAUUUCAAGUUAAGUUUAAAAAAAAACUUGUCUCAAACACACUCUUCUUUCCAUCAAACUUGAAUGUGAAAUUUAGUCAUUCUGCUUCCUUAAUUUUGAGAUCAUUAAUUAGUCCUAUCUGAUUUGUACAGUACCAGCUCAGGCCCGCUCUUUGUUUGGCUCUAGAUGUGCUAUUCUGAGAAUCUGUCCUGAAAAUAUUCUAUAAACUCUCAUCUACACCACCUUUUACUCACCUGAUUUUUCCAGUAAAUAUGUAGAAUAAAAUCCUUCAUAGUUAUCAGCAUACCAUUCUGACAAGCUCCCUUUGUUUCUUCCUUUAUACUUGUUCUUGACCUUUGUUAAUUCUAAGGGGCCUGUUCAUCACUCUUGCCUUUAAACAUUUGCCUUUUAACAUGUGCUCCUGAGAUGCUGCUUGGCCUGCUGUGUUCAUCCAGACUCACAUUUUGUUGUCUUGGAUUCUCCAGCAUCUGCAGUUCCCAUUAUCUCUGCCUUUUAACAUUUCUUGCCUUUUACCAUUUCUCAUUUCCUAUCCAAACUACUUUUACAUUCUUGCUUCCUGAACGCAAGUCACUCAUCUCUCCUGUGUUACUACAAUCAUCAUUAUGACCUCCUCCAUUUCCCAGCUUUCUUUCCUUCUUAAAUGUUAUGUACCUUACAAUAUUCAGGUCCCAAUCCAUGUAUUCUUGCAACAUGUCUCUGUAAUGAUUAUCAUAUCAGCUUAUUUAUUUCGAUUUGUGCUAUAAGUUCAUAUGUUUAUUGCAAAUGAGAAAGCAUUCUGAUUCUGUUUCAGUGUUUUUCCUUUUAUUAUUUUUGCAAUCAUAAGACCAUUAAAUGUAGGGACAGAAUUAGACCAUUUAGCCCAUUGAAUCUGCUCUACUAUUCAAUGAGAUCGUUGGCUCAACUGAUAAUCCUCAACUUUACAUUCCAGCCAUUUCCCAUAAUUUCUGUUCCAGUAAUGACUAAAAAUCCGUUUCAGCCUUGAAUAUGCUUAAUUAUCCAGCCCGAAUAACCAUCUCUGGGAAAAAAUUAUGCAGAUUCACUGAGAGAAAAGAAUAUCCUCCUCUUCAUUGCCUUAAUUAAGUGAAUCCUUUUGUCCACAAGGGGAGACAACUUCUCUGCAUCUGCUCUGUCCAGCACAUGAAAAACUUCCGUGGUUCAAAUAGGUCUCUACUCAUUCUCCUAAAUUCCAAUAACUACAAGCUCAAAUGAUCCAAUCUCUCCUCAUAAUAAGUCACUCCACAUCUGGAAUCAGCCGAGAGAAAUUUAUUUAGACUGCCUACAUUGCCAGCAUAUCUUUCCUUAGAUAAGGGAUCAAAACUGUUUACAGGAUUCCAGGUCUCGUCUGAGUAGUGCCUUAUAGUUUUAGCAAGACGUUCCCUUUUAGUACUGCAUUCCCUUUGAAAUAACACCAUCAGUCUAUUUGCCUUCAGUUAUCAACUGAACUUGUUUGCCACCGUUUUGUGAUUCAUGCGCAAAGAACUCAAUUCUCUCUGUAUUUUAGCUUUCUGCAGUAUUUGCCAUUUAAUAUUCAGCUCUUCUAUUCUUAUGUCAAAGUGUAUAAUGUCACAUUUUACCACUUCAUUUUCUAUCUGCCAAUUUUUUUGCCUACGCACCUAGCCUGUAUAUAUCCCUCAAUGAACCUCGUUGUUAAUUAUGACUACUUGCCUUCCUACCUGCUUUGGUGUUAUCCUGUGGCCUUACUUGUUGAUUUGCUCCUAGAAUUGUACAUUCCAUCUCCUCUUGUCAUUCGUCUGCCCAUCAUUUCCAUCUUAAUAUCCUUCACUUUGGGAUUGAUUCUAUUCUUUAAUUUACCAAAUUUGAUCCCUUCACUCCACUAUUCAGUUUAUAACCUUUUUUACUUGUCUAUCUAUGCAACUCAUCAUCAGUUAAAGUUUUCGGAUAAACAACAUUGUGUAAAUAACAAAGAUUUAUUUUCCUUCUUUUUAUCCCACGUAGGAUGUUUUUACUACGGGACAGUCAAAGUAAUCUGAAAAGUUUUGUUUUGUCACUGUGCCAUUGUCAGAAGAUAAGACAUUUUCAGAUUAUACCGUAAGCAAAGUUAGAAGAUUCCAUCAUUCCUCAGGGUUCACCUUAGACUGGAAUAAUAUAUACACAAGGAUGUCUAGCAUCAGUCCUCAGUUCUCCUGGAAGAACCACAUCAGUGGUGACACCAGGAUGUUCAAAAACUAGACUACAAUGAUACCUAUGUGGAUUCCUGCCACUGGACUAUGAGAGGACAGACUCCCACAUUCAAAACCAUUUUGUAGGCCUUCAGCAGCAAACGCGCUCUUCUGAUAUUGGUUAUCAAGUUGCAUCCAGGAGAAACACUAGAACAGUGUCUUACAAACUGUAGGUCAUGGCCCUCAAUGGGGUCAAAAGUUUGGAAUUGUGGUCUGCGAGGCAGCAACAUUUGUAUGAAUCUCUGACCAAAUGCUAAGAACUGUACCGUAGUUUCACAGUUUUUGAAACAGAUGUGAGUGCCAUAAAUGCCCAAUCUUACAGAUGUGAAUCUUUUCCUAAAAAUUCCAACUGGAAGGCAGAUCACUUUUACUUAAAACCCCUGUGUAUUAAACUACCUUUGCUCCCGCUGACUGUCAUAGGGCCUCCUCCCCUCAUUCUCCCACAGGAAUGGAGUAUUGGCUACUAACAUGCGUUAAAAUGAAGUCCUUAGGAGAAAUGCUUUGGGAAGCACUGUGGUCGAAUAAAGGCAGAACUUGGGACCAAGAUAUGUCAUGUAAGGCAAUGAGCGUGACUGCUAUAGUACUCAGCUCAGGAAGUAACUGAUGAAACUUUGUUUACAUGCAGAUGUGGGCAAUUGUAACCUGACAGAUAUAUUGCAGAAGGGUCCAAAAGUACAAGCAGAGGGCAGGCAAUUUUAAGACAGAAUACCCAGAAAAGUGGCAUCAAUUUCUUGACACAAAAAUUUGUUCCCCCAGUUAUGAAUCAGACAUAUGCCACAAGCUAGAAAGUGGGGAAAAAGAAACAAACAGCAAGUUCAAGGAAACCAACUGUGGCUACCAACGAUUAAUUACCCCAAUGAAUAGGGACCGUAAAGAAUAGGUGUUCUUUUGGAAUUGAUAAAAUAUGCUGUAUUCUUAGCACAAGUAACAAAAUGAAAAAUAUGAUGUUUGCUGCUGUUCAUAGCCAAAUAUUUUAUGGCAUAAUUAUUAGUCCAAUUUUAUUCACUAUUGAGCAGCUUUGUUGAGAUUCGUCUUUUAAUUACAAGCAGUUGGAUUGAUCUUUCUGCUAAUAACAGUUUGAGAUUUGAAAUUAUAACAUAUGGACCAUUUGAAUUUCUAUCCGCUUGAUAGUGGCGAUAGCUUAAGGGUAAUCACUCCACGAGAGUAAGUUGAGGGGAGGAGGCAGGAUCUCCAUGAGGUACUAUAGUUGACUUGAAGAUUGAACCCAUGCUAUUGGCUUUAAUUCAGACCACAUUGUAGUCACUUAGCCAACUGACCUAACCUACACCCUGAGAAAUGUGAAUAAUCGACUAAUUAUGUCAUAUGGGAAAUGUUGCAGCUUGUUCAGAAAAACAUUUAAACUUCCACCACAGAAAAAUGUUUUGUCAGAGUGUUUACAGACUUGCAAUUAUUGAAAGAUUACAGAUUAGCAGGGCUGAGUUAUCCAGAAACUGCUGCAUUCUUACAACUGCAUUGGAACUUUCUCAUCAACUGUUAUGUA